rnacentral:rRNA from 1 species
AGAGUUUGAUCCUGGCUCAGAACGAACGCUGGCGGCAGGCCUAACACAUGCAAGUCGAACGGAUGUAGCAAUACAUUAGUGGCGCACGGGAGAGUAACGCGUGGGAACCUACCUUUUGGUUUGGGAUAACGUCGGGAAACUGACGCUAAUACCAGAUAAGCCCUUCGGGGGAAAGAUUUAUCGCCGAUUGAUGGGCCCGCGUUAGAUUAGCUAGUUGGUGAGGUAACGGCUCACCAAGGCGACGAUCUAUAGCUGGUCUGAGAGGAUGACCAGCCUCACUGGGACUGAGACACGGCCCAGACUCCUACGGGAGGCAGCAGUGGGGAAUAUUGGACAAUGGGGGCAACCCUGAUCCAGCCAUGCCGCGUGAAUGAUGAAGGCCUUCGGGUUGUAAAGUUCUUUUGGUGGGGACGAUGAUGGCGGUACCCACAGAAUAAGCUCCGGCUAACUUCGUGCCAGCAGCCGCGGUAAUACGAAGGGAGCUAGCGUUGUUCGGAAUUACUGGGCGUAAAGGGCGCGUAGGCGGUUUGGUAAGUUGGGUGUGAAAGCCCAGGGCUCAACCCUGGAACUGCACUCAAGACUAUCAGACUUGAAUUCGGUAGAGGUUGGUGGAAUUCCCAGUGUAGAGGUGAAAUUCGUAGAUAUUGGGAAGAAUAUCCGUGGCGAAGGCGGCCAACUGGACCGACAUUGACGCUGAGGCGCGAAAGCGUGGGGAUCAAACAGGAUUAGAUACCCUGGUAGUCCACGCUGUAAACGAUGCAUGUUAGACGUUGGAAACUUCAGGUUUCUUGUGUCGCAGCUAACGCACUAAGCAUGCCG